rnacentral:pre_miRNA from 1 species
GUUUUACUCCCUCCGUCCUGAAUUAUUUGUCGCAGGUAUGGAUGUAUCUAUAUGUAUUUUAGUUCUAGAUACAUUCAUUUUUGCGACGAGUAAUUUGGAACGGAGGGAGUAGUAU